UACGUAGGUGGCAAGCGUUGUCCGGAAUUACUGGGUGUAAAGGGAGCGCAGGCGGGAAGCCAAGUCAGCUGUGAAAACUACGGGCAUAACUUGUAGACUGCAGUUGAAACUGGUUUUCUUGAGUGAAGUAGAGGUUGGCGGAAUUCCGAGUGUAGCGGUGAAAUGCGUAGAUAUUCGGAGGAACACCGGUGGCGAAGGCGGCCAACUGGGCUUUGACUGACGCUGAGGCUCGAAAGUGUGGGGAGCAAACAGG
rnacentral:rRNA from 1 species